AGACGUUUUAGGUAUCCCUAGGGCGUACAGGGAAUGAACGGCUGGCGGCGUGCCCUAAUAACAUGCAAGUCGAGCGAACAGAUGAGAAGCUUGCUUCUCUAGAUGUUAGCGGCGGACGGGUGAGUAACACGUGGGUAACCCUACCUAUAAGACUGGGAUAACUCCGGGAAACCGGGGCUAAUACCGGAUAAUAUAUUGAACCGCAUGGUUCAAUGUUGAAAGACGGUUUCGGCUGUCACUUAUAGAUGGACCCGCGCCGUAUUAGCUAGUUGGUAAGGUAACGGCUUACCAAGGGCAACGAUACGUAGCCGACCUGAGAGGGUGAUCGGCCACACUGGAACUGAGACACGGUCCAGACUCCUACGGGAGGCAGCAGUAGGGAAUCUUCCGCAAUGGGCGAAAGCCUGACGGAGCAACGCCGCGUGAGUGAUGAAGGUCUUAGGAUACGUAAAACUCUGUUGUUAGGGAAGAACAAAUUUGUUAGUAACUGAACAAGUCUUGACGGUACCUAACCAGAAAGCCACGGCUAACUACGUG
rnacentral:rRNA from 1 species